GUCCCUAUAGUUCAAUGGAUAGAACUGCGGUUUCCUAAACCGUCAAUUCGAGUUCGAGUCUCGAUGGGGGCACCA
rnacentral:tRNA from 1 species